UGAGCCAGUGAUGACCACUGAUGUGUAUGAUCUAUGGAUCAUGAGUUCAGGUCUGGGAGUCUGAGGUCCAC